AUGACGACGUCGGGCGGCGACAACUACCAGGAAGGAGGGCCCAAGAGGGUCUGGUACUCUGUCCACGCGUUCUCAUUCUCGUUGAACGCGGCCUCACGGUCCGUCAGGAUCAUGAGCGGCGCCACCAGCACCAGGAAGCUCGUCCCCGCGAUCCACGCCGCCUUCCCCGUGCUCCGCGUCAGCUUCCAGGCCACCGUCCCCGCCUGGCGCCCCACCUCCGCCGCGCACGAGCACGCCUGGCGCCCCGUCUCCGCCGCGGUCGAGCACGCCGGCCCAGCGGCCGCCGCCAGCUUCCGCCCCUGGUCCGCCACCGACGACGCAACGGCCGUCCACGUCGUCAUCGCCGACUCCAUGUGA
rnacentral:rRNA from 1 species